rnacentral:rRNA from 1 species
UACGGGGGGAGCAAGCGUUGUUCGGAUUUACUGGGCGUAAAGGGCGCGUAGGCGGUCAGCACAAGUCAGUUGUGAAAUCUCCGGGCUUAACCCGGAAAGGUCAACUGAUACUGUGCGACUAGAGUGCGGAAGGGGCAACUGGAAUUCUCGGUGUAGCGGUGAAAUGCGUAGAUAUCGAGAGGAAGACCAGUGGCGAAGGCGGGUCUCUGGACAGUUCCUGACGCUGAGGCGCGAAGGCCAGGGGAGCAAACGGG